rnacentral:rRNA from 1 species
UACGUAGGUGGCAAGCGUUGUCCGGCUUUACUGGGCGUAAAGAGCGCGCAGGCGGUCGUUCAAGUCGCGUGUGAAAGCCCCCGGCUCAACUGGGGAGGGUCACGCGAUACUGAUCGACUCGAAGGCAGGAGAGGGAAGUGGAAUUCCCGGUGUAGUGGUGAAAUGCGUAGAUAUCGGGAGGAACACCAGUGGCGAAGGCGGCUACCUGGCCCAUUCUUGACGCUGAGGCGCGAAAGCUAGGGGAGCAAACGGG